CCCUUAGAUGUCCGGGGCCGCACGCGCGCUACACUGAAUAGCGUAACGAGUUUCUCUCCUGAUCCGAAAGGGUCGGGCAACCUGUUGAAACCUAUUCGUGACAGGGAUCGGGGCUUGUAAUUAUUCCCCGUGAACGAGGAAUUCCUAGUAAGCGCAAGUCAUAAACUUGCGUUGAUUACGUCCCUGCCUUUUGUACACACCGCCCGUCGCUACUACCGAUUGAAUGGUUUAGCAAGAUCUUCGGAUCGGCGCCUGAGCAGUUCUCUGCUCUUGGUGUCCGAGAAGAUGAUCAAACUUGAUCAUUUAGAGGAAGUAAAAGUCGUAACA
rnacentral:rRNA from 1 species